rnacentral:rRNA from 1 species
AUGCCUUCCUGGCAGAACAACAACGAGACAUCCGACGCCGAUGAUGACGAGUACAUGAACGAGUACAACAGCAGCAACAUGCAGAUGGAGUAUUUUCAAACUCCUGACACGGUGAUAGAUCCAAGUUUCUGUGGGCUUGUGGUUGAAUCUGAUCGUAAGUGCAUCCUGCACAGGCAGAGACCAGGCAGGUUUGUGGCAUUUGAAGGGACUGACACUGGAAGGAGAUUCAUUGGAUGUGCUACUACGGAUGGUGUGAACUGUGGUAUUCUGGAGUGGGUAGAUGCCCCUUGGCCAGUCAUUCUGCAAAGGUGUUUAACCAAGCUGUGGGAUAUGUAUCAUGAGGAGAACCUUGGUAGAGUCCAAGACAAAGAUGCUCAUGAGAUAGGGGUUGAGAAACUGAAGAAGGAGCUGGAUUCUCUUGGCAAUCAGUACAGUCAGCUUGUGGAUGAUGUAUCCAAGUUGUUUGAUUACCAGGAUGGGCAGAGAUCCCAUGACAUGGAUCUUACAAGUCAGGCAAUUAAUGAACUUAAGGAGAAGAAGCAUCGGCUUGAGGAGCAGGCAAAGAUUGAGGUUCAAAUGGAGAAGCUUAAGCUGAAGAAAGAACAGAGGUGCAUCCUGCAGAGUCAAGCUGAUAUCAUUAAAAACACCAGGAAGGCCAUGAAGGAGAUACAAGUGGAGAGGGACCUCCUUAAAGAAGAGAAGAAGAAGCUGGAGCAUGUCAUUUCUGAGCUACUGAAGGCUGGUCAUGGGUGCAAGGAAAAGCUGGACAAGAUCAAAGAAGUUGUCAUGGAGGAGUGA